rnacentral:piRNA from 1 species
GUGAAUGAUGCAAAGACAAAAUGAAAGU